GGCGGACGGGUGAGUAAUGUCUGGGAAACUGCCCGAUGGAGGGGGAUAACUACUGGAAACGGUAGCUAAUACCGCAUAACGUCGCAAGACCAAAGAGGGGGACCUUCGGGCCUCUUGCCAUCGGAUGUGCCCAGAUGGGAUUAGCUAGUAGGUGGGGUAACGGCUCACCUAGGCGACGAUCCCUAGCUGGUCUGAGAGGAUGACCAGCCACACUGGAACUGAGACACGGUCCAG
rnacentral:rRNA from 1 species